rnacentral:rRNA from 1 species
GGCAGCAGCCGCGGGAACACCGGCGGCCCGAGUGGUGAUCGUGAUUAUUGGGUCUAAAGGGUCCGUAGCCGGUUUGGUCAGUCCUCCGGGAAAUCUGAUAGCUCAACUAUUAGGCUUUCGGGGGAUACUGCCAGACUUGGAACCGGGAGAGGUAAGAGGUACUACAGGGGUGGGAGUGAAAUCUUGUAAUCCCUGUGGGACCACCUGUGGCGAAGGCGUCUUACCAGAACGGGUUCGACGGUGAGGGACGAAAGCUGGGGGCACGAACCGGAUUAGAUACCCGGGUAGUCCCAGCCGUAAACGAUGCUCGCUAGGUGUCAGGCAUGGCGCGACCGUGUCUGGUGCCGCAGGGAAGCCGUGAAGCGAGCCACCUGGGAAGUACGGCCGCAAGGCUGAAACUUAAAGGAAUUGGCGGGGGAGCACAACAACGGGUGGAGCCCUGCGGUUUAAUUGGACUCAACGCCGGACAACUCACCGGGGGCGACAGCAAUAUGUAGGCCAAGCUGAAGACUUUGCCUGAAUCGCUGAGGAGUGGUGCAUGG